UACGUAGGGUGCAAGCGUUGUCCGGAAUUAUUGGGCGUAAAGGGCUCGUAGGCGGUUUGUUACGUCGGGAGUGAAAACCCAGGGCUCAACCCUGGGCCUGCUUCCGAUACGGGCAGACUAGAGGUAUGCAGGGGAGAAUGGAAUUCCUGGUGUAGCGGUGAAAUGCGCAGAUAUCAGGAGGAACACCGGUGGCGAAGGCGGUUCUCUGGGCAUUACCUGACGCUGAGGAGCGAAAGUGUGGGGAGCGAACAGG
rnacentral:rRNA from 1 species